rnacentral:tRNA from 1 species
GUCAGGGUCCUACAGUGGAAAAUGAAUUGACUUGUAGUCAAAGCACCUGGGUUUAAAUCCCAGCUCUGUCA